rnacentral:rRNA from 1 species
UACAGAGGGGGGCAAGCGUUGUUCGGAAUUACUGGGCGUAAAGGGCGCGUAGGCGGCCUUCUAAGUCGAACGUGAAAUCCCCAGGCUCAACCCGGGAACUGCGUCCGAUACUGGAAGGCUUGAAUCCGGGAGAGGGAUGUGGAAUUCCAGGUGUAGCGGUGAAAUGCGUAGAUAUCUGGAGGAACACCUGGGGCGAAGGCGGCCAGCUGGGCCGUCCCUGACGCUGAGGCGCGAAGGCGUGGGGAGCGAACGGG